UACAGAGGUCCCAAGCGUUGUUCGGAUUCACUGGGCGUAAAGGGUGCGUAGGUGGCGGGGUAAGUUCGAUGUGAAAUCUCCGGGCUCAACUCGGAAACGGCAUUGAAAACUACUCUGCUGGAGGGUCGGAGGGGAGACUGGAAUUCUCGGUGUAGCAGUGAAAUGCGUAGAUAUCGAGAGGAACACCAGUGGCGAAGGCGAGUCUCUGGACGACUCCUGACACUGAGGCACGAAAGCCAGGGGAGCAAACAGG
rnacentral:rRNA from 1 species